rnacentral:rRNA from 1 species
AACGAACGCUGGCGGCAUGCCUAACACAUGCAAGUCGAACGAGACCUUCGGGUCUAGUGGCGCACGGGUGCGUAACGCGUGGGAACCUGCCCUUAGGUUCGGAAUAACUCCCUGAAAGGGGUGCUAAUACCGGAUAAUGUCUUCGGACCAAAGAUUUAUCGCCUUUGUAUGGGCCCGCGUUGGUUUAGCUAGUUGGUAGUGUAAAAGCCUACCAAGGCGACGAUCCAUAGCUGGGCUGAGAGGAUGGUCAGCCACACUGGGACUGAGACACGGCGCAGACUCCUACGGGAGGCGGCAGUGGGGAAUAUUGGACAAUGGGCGAAAGGCUGAUCCAGCAAUGCCGCGUGAGUGAUGAAGGCCUUAGGGUAGUAAAGCUCUUUUACCCGGGAUGAUAAUGACAGUACCGGGAGAAUAAGCUCCGGCUAACUCCGUG